rnacentral:rRNA from 1 species
UACGUAGGGGGCAAGCGUUGUCCGGAUUUAUUGGGCGUAAAGAGCGUGUAGGCGGCCUGACAGGUCUGCUGUGAAAACUCGAGGCUCAACCUCGAGAUGUCGGCGGAAACCGUCUGGCUAGAGUCCGGAAGAGGAGAGUGGAAUUCCUGGUGUAGCGGUGAAAUGCGCAGAUAUCAGGAAGAACACCCAUGGCGAAGGCAGCUCUCUGGGACGGUACUGACGCUGAGACGCGAAAGCGUGGGGAGCGAACAGG